rnacentral:rRNA from 1 species
UACGAAGGGGGCUAGCGUUGCUCGGAAUUACUGGGCGUAAAGCGUGUGUAGGCGGUCUCAUAAGUCGGGUGUGAAAGCCCAGGGCUCAACCCUGGAAGUGCACUCGAAACUGCGAGGCUUGAGUACCGGAGAGGUUGGUGGAAUUCUCGGUGUAGAGGUGAAAUUCGUAGAUAUCGAGAGGAACACCGGUGGCGAAGGCGGCCAACUGGACGAGUACUGACGCUGAGACACGAAAGCGUGGGGAGCAAACAGG